rnacentral:rRNA from 1 species
UCCGUAGGCGGUGCGGCAAGUCGGAAGUGAAAUCUCAGGGCUUAACCCUGAGGCUGCUUCCGAAACUGCCGUGCUCGAGUGCGAGAGAGGCGAGUGGAAUUGCAGGUGUAGCGGUGAAAUGCGUAGAUAUCUGCAGGAACAUCCGAGGCGAAAGCGGCUCGCUGGAUCGCAACUGACGCUGAGGGACGAAAAGCUAGGGGGAGCAAACAGGAUUAGAUACCCUGGUAGUCCUAGCCCUAAACGAUCAGGACUGGGCGUGGGCCUCGUACGGGGCUCGUGCCGCAGCUAACGCGUUAAGUCCUGCGCCUGGGGAGUACGGUCGCAAGGCUGAA